AUUAUCAACACGGCAGCGCGGAGGCUGUGGGCGUCUGCAGGAAUUACAACGUAGGAAGUACAAUUAAAAAGCUGCAGGCAGUCACAUCCACAGACGGCGAGCUUGCAGAACGCGGCAGAAGGCCGCGCGGAGGUUGAGGCUGCAGUCAGAAAUAGGCAGCGACUUCUCAGAAGAGGCUCCCGGUAGUCGCAGUAUGACUGGAGAGCCGAGGCAACUCACCGGCUGCGCCUCUUGCUCACGUCGCAUCCAGUGACGCGCGAGGCCGUUCCCGCAAGCGGAAUCAGUUUGAGAGAAGUCUGUUAGGUGCACCUGCGAUAGUGCCUCUGAAUGCUUGUGGUUGGUUUUGUUUGAGUCGCGGCCAACUGACAAAUGUCAAGUCGAGCCACUUUUUGUUGUUG
ensembl:lncRNA